GUGCUCGCUUCAGCAGCACAUAUACUAAAAUUGGAACCAUACAGAGAAGAUUAGCAUGGUCCCUGCACAAGGAUGACACGCAAAUUCAUGAAGCGUUCCAUAAAAAC
ensembl:snRNA U6 U6 spliceosomal RNA